UACGAAGGGGGCUAGCGUUGUUCGGAAUUACUGGGCGUAAAGCGCGUGUAGGCGGGUCUUUAAGUCAGGGGUGAAAUGCCAAGGCUCAACCUUGGAACUGCCUUUGAUACUGGAUGGCUUGGAUUCGGGAGAGGAAUGCGGAAUUCCAGGUGUAGCGGUGAAAUGCGUAGAUAUCUGGAGGAACACCGGUGGCGAAGGCGGCAUUCUGGACCGACAUUGACGCUGAGGAGCGAAAGCCAGGGGAGCAAACGGG
rnacentral:rRNA from 1 species